rnacentral:rRNA from 1 species
UACGUAGGGGGCAAGCGUUGUCCGGAUUUAUUGGGCGUAAAGAGCGUGUAGGCGGUUUGGUAGGUCCGUUGUGAAAACUCGAGGCUCAACCUCGAGACGUCGGUUGAAACCACCUGGCUAGAGUCCGGAAGAGGAGAGUGGAAUUCCCGGUGUAGCGGUGAAAUGCGCAGAUAUCGGGAAGAACACCCGUGGCGAAGGCGGCUCUCUGGGACGGUACUGACGCUGAGACGCGAAAGCGUGGGGAGCAAACAGG